rnacentral:rRNA from 1 species
AGAGUUGAUCAUGGCUCAGGAUGAACGCUGGCGGCGUGCCUAAUACAUGCAAGUCGGACGCUAACCUCGGGUUAGAGUGGCGAACGGGUGAGUAACACGUAGGUAACCUGCCCAUAAGACGAGGAUAACUACUGGAAACGGUAGCUAAUACUGGAUAGUAUAUAGAAUCGCAUGAUUUUAUAUUUAAAGAUGCGUAUGCAUCACUUAUGGAUGGACCUGCGGCGCAUUAGCUAGUCGGUGAGAUAACGGCCCACCAAGGCGACGAUGCGUAGCCGGACUGAGAGGUUGAACGGCCACAUUGGGACUGAGACACGGCCCAGACUCCUACGGGAGGCAGCAGUAGGGAAUUUUCGGCAAUGGACGCAAGUCUGACCGAGCAACGCCGCGUGAGUGAUGAAGUUCUUCGGAACGUAAAAUUCUUUUAUUUGGAAAAAACGUAUAAUGUAGGAAAUGACAUUAUAGUGAUGGUACCAAAUGAAUAAGCCCCGGCUAACUAUGUGCCAGCCGCUGC